rnacentral:rRNA from 1 species
GACGAACGCUGGCGGCGUGCUUAACACAUGCAAGUCGAGCGGGGAUACGGGACUUCGGUCCUGUGUUCUAGCGGCGGACGGGUGAGUAACGCGUGAGCAAUCUGUCCCAGACAGGGGGAUAACACUUGGAAACAGGUGCUAAUACCGCAUAAGACCACGGAGUCACAUGGCUCAGGGGUAAAAGAUUUAUCGGUCUGGGGUGAGCUCGCGUCCGAUUAGGUAGUUGGUGAGGUAACGGCCCACCAAGCCUGCGAUCGGUAGCCGACCUGAGAGGGUGAUCGGCCACAUUGGGACUGAGACACGGCCCAA